rnacentral:rRNA from 1 species
ACUGUCGCCGUUGAUUUCUCACCUUCUGGAGAAGCUCGAUGUCCUUAGUUGGGUGUCUUGCGGAGCCAGGACCUUUACCUUGAAAAAUUAGAGUGUUUAGAGCAGGCAUUAUUGCUCGAAUACAUUAGCAUGGAAUAAUAAAAUAGGACGGCAUGGUUCUAUUUUGUUGGUUUCUAGGGUCACCGUAAUG